ACGCUCGACACCUACGGGAGGCAGCAGUGGGGGAUAUUGCACAAUGGAGGAAACUCUGAUGCAGCGACGCCGCGUGAGGGAAGACGGUUUUCGGAUUGUAAACCUCUGUCUUCAGGGACGAAAUGAAUGACGGUACCUGAGGAGGAAGCUCCGGCUAACUACGUGACAGCAGCCGCGGUAAUCUGAGCGGGCUGGCAAGGC
rnacentral:rRNA from 1 species